rnacentral:rRNA from 1 species
GCAGCAGCCGCGGGAAUACGUAGGCAGCGAGCGUUGUUCGGAAUUACUGGGCGUAAAGAGUGUGUAGGCGGUGCUAUAAGUUCGGUGUGAAAUCUCCUGGCUCAACUGGGAGGGGUCACCGAAAACUGUAGUGCUCGAACAUGGGAGAGGAAAGCGGAAUUCCUGGUGUAGCGGUGAAAUGCGUAGAUAUCAGGAGGAACACCUGCGGUGUAGACGGCUUUCUGGACCAUUGUUGACGCUGAGACACGAAAGCGUGGGUAGCAAACAGGAUUAGAUACCCCGGUAGUCCCUGUCUCUUAUAC